AAAUGGAGUCCCGUGAGGAGCCAUUUUGGGUCGGUCUCCCUCAGGGCAGUGGGUCUGGGGUUCUCCCCGUGUGUUGGGACAUCACCUGCAGUUCAUCUUCUGUAUGGAUUGAGAGGCCUCAUCUUACACGGUAACUGUUGUACAUGUACCCAUACGGAUUAUGCAUGCACCAGAUCUUCACAAUUCCUUUGCGCCUGGCACAAGUUCAAAUGAGUUGAAUUGGAAAGCGAUGGCUUUUUCCCCUCUCAUCACUACAUGUAAAUCUUCAUCAGGUGCGGACUGCAGCUAUUGAUUGUCGUGGUUCUACUUCGGUUUUGCACCAAAUCAGAAUCCUGUGCCAUCCUAGGAAACAAAAAAGCUGAAGCUACAGGAUGUCUGCAUUCUCUAAGGCACAAGCGGAGAAGAGAGGCAGGUCUGCUGCAGAAACUAAUAACCACAAGUUAAACCAUGGGAGUUCAAAGGACUUGGUCCACGUCUUGUGGAAGCUGACUGAGCAUCUGGCCUGAUUUCAAAAUUCACCAGGAAAUGGGAUUUUUAUCCUCAGAACCUGUGAGGCCAUGAACACUCUGCGACACUGCCCCAAAUGUCACACAGGGCUGCUAUCCUGAGGAACUCUUUUGCUAAAAUUAAAAUACCUUAUCAGAGAGAUGCAAGGCCUUGGGAAGAAGGUGAAAGGCAUGAUCUGAAGAUGACCAGUUAGAUGUAUUUGUGCCCACUGGACACCGAUUUACGUAAAACUGCAGGUAUUUAAGCACUGUAGCAGGCUACCUGCAAUGGCUGCAGAGUCUCUGUCAUGGAAACUUCAAAAUUACAUUAAGACAUUUGUAGGAAAGGCAUAAGUAAAGCUGACCCUGCAUUGCGAGCAGGCUGAGGGAUAGAUGAAUACCUGAGGUCUGCUUCAGCCCUGCAUGUUUAUGCCAUCAUUUGCUUGGGCAACGCAUUGCUGGUACCAGGAGGUCCCCUGGGAAGGCAGAGGGACUACAGCAAGGAGAAAGGCAGGAAAAGAGAGGGAGAACGGAAGCCGGCUGCGAUCACAAGGCACAUCAGCCAAGGGAGGAAGCAGAAGAUAACUCCAGAGGGGUCCAAACACAACAAAUCCUAAAAGUAAAACUAAACUUGUCUGAAACAUUUGCCCAUAACGACCCUCAUGCAUUGGAUGAAUCAUAAUUUAUAAAAUAAAUCAACUAC